rnacentral:rRNA from 1 species
AGGGCGCUUACCACUUUGUGAUUCAUGACUGGGGUGAAGUCGUAACAAGGUAACCGUAGGGGAACCUGCGGUUGGAUCACCUCCUUACCUGAAAGAAGC